CACUGAUCCUAUCUGACAUUGAUUAAUUUGUGUAUAGUAGAUCAAUUUAAAGUUUUGUUUCUGCCAAACUUGAAUUGGCUUUAGAAUUAGGGUUUUUAAAUUUCGUUUUAAAUUUAAGUAGAAAUUAUUAUGCAUGUGUACGGUAAUUUAAAUCUUUGUAAUCUAACAAAUUUAUUUCCAAUUUUGUAGAUGCAAUAGCUCAUUAGAACCCGGAAGGCGAUGACUUCUACACCUUGAUCGACGACUACACCUACUUCUGCCACCACUGCUUCGGCAGAGAUGGACCAUAGGUCAAUGAAUCCGGUUGACCCAGUUGGUCCUCCAGUCCUACAGGCAUUGGCAUAUUCGACUUCUUCGGUGAUGCUACCUGUUAGCGCCCGACGUGCUCACCGGUGCCCCGACACUCCAGACCAGAUGUCGCCAUCUAGAUCCACAACCAAUGCCUCCGGUACACAACUAGGUAUACUAUCCUAAUUUACUCCCUCAUUCCCAUGUUAACUUAGUUUUGUUAUUUUAGGUUCAGUUUGUUAAGUUAUGUCAUUUAAGGAUUAAAAAGUUAUCAUAUAUAUAUAUAUAUAUAUGUAUAUGUAUAUGUGUAUAUAUAUUGUUUAUUGUUGUCAUCGUUCCGAACCUAUUAUUAAAUUGUUGUGAUCAUUGUGUUGGAUACGUAUAUUGUUUAUAUUAUUUUCAGGGUUUUAAGAAAUGUUUUCAUUAUAGGGAGGUUAUAUAGAAAUUUUAGUAUGAUUUGUUAUUGGUUUUAGGUUAACGUUAAUUUUUCAUUUCUUGGCAGCCAAGAAAAACACCCGAGGACCUUGUCGGCAAUUGAAGACGGCGAAGGUCACCCGGAUGACCAACGAUUGUAUCACAAUCAGAUAUGAUGAGCGACAUCGGACAACACCAACGACGGAGUAGCAUAGUGCAUUGGCCCAUGACAUUGGGCACGUCAUGCGGACCUUUUGCCCUAUGCGGUGGAAGGCUUGGAAGGCGAUGCCGGAGA
rnacentral:lncRNA from 1 species